rnacentral:rRNA from 1 species
UACGAAGGGGGCUAGCGUUGCUCGGAAUUACUGGGCGUAAAGCGCACGUAGGCGGCUUUCUAAGUCGGGGGUGAAAUCCUGGAGCUCAACUCCAGAACUGCCUUCGAUACUGAAGAGCUCGAGUCCGGGAGAGGUGAGUGGAACUGCGAGUGUAGAGGUGAAAUUCGUAGAUAUUCGCAAGAACACCAGUGGCGAAGGCGGCUCACUGGCCCGGUACUGACGCUGAGGUGCGAAAGCGUGGGGAGCAAACAGGG